CUCGGAGCACACCGCCUGGACGCGAUCUUCUCCUGCCGCUCCUCCAGCCAGUUGGAUGUCCAUCGCGUUGAGGAAGCUGUGCGAUUCCAGCCUCGUCGGAGCACUCGAAUGGGUUGGCUCAUUGUCAGACUGCGUGCUUCCGCCCGAGGUAGAGAUGCUACUCUGAGAAGAUGAGUUCGGAAGGUCCAGCCUCGAGAGGGACGGAGAAGACGACAGGCGCUUGAAUGACUUGGGGGAAUCCAGCCCAGGCAGUAUUCCUUCUCCGAUGAGGCCAUUGCAUAUGUUCGUGUUCGCCAAGGUAGCAUUGGCGCUGAGGGCGGCACCCGAGAGGCAGGAGAAGGACGAACUGCUCCUCAUCAUCAUCAUAGAACUCUGUAUCUGAAUCCCCGUGCAUAUCUCAAAUUCGCAGGGCGGCUUCUGCGUAGGGCUCCAGGCGGUGUUGCACUGG
rnacentral:lncRNA from 1 species